GCACCCGUAGCUCAGCUGGAUAGAGCGUUGGCCUCCGGAGCCAAAGGUCAGAGGUUCGAAUCCUCUCGGGUGCGCCA
rnacentral:tRNA from 1 species